GAAGUCAGGAAGGCUGUCCUGGCAGUGAGAUGAGGGAUGAGGGAGACAGAGGUUGAUAAUUUGCUGAUUGCACCCAGCCCAGGGGGAGAAGCACAGGCAGAAGUGCUGGUUCAGGACUUCCGAUACUUCUGGCACUGAUUUGGCUGAUAUUCAUAUAUUACUGGGACUUGGCUAAAAAGUAAGAACAGAUAUUACUGCUCCCCUCUACUCCUUCCCAGUAUUAAAGAAGAGAAGCUUUGUAGAUGGAUGAGAGAUGGGCUGUUGUGCAGAGCCUGCCAGCUGGAGUCCUCUUUCCUUCCUGGACAUCUCGGAAGGUUCCUUGCAGAAGCAGCUGAGAGUUGCCUGUUGGUCUGUGGUAGCUCGAAGCCAGUUUGUCCUUCCCUAGGGACCAGAACAGUUUCACUGAAAAUCACCUGUAUCCUUUUUCUGUCCAUGAGAUCCUAUGUGCCCUUCAGUUUUUCUUGGUCAAAAGGUGUUUCUAAUUCUUGAAUUACUUCCUGUCUUCCAUGGUCUUUUAUAUGUGACGUAUUUUGCCUUGAGCAACAUGCAGACUCCUCUGAUCCUUUCUUCUGAAAGCAUCCUCAGGCAGCAUUUCACACAGGAAUAUAUAUGCUCUUCUCUUCUAAAGUCAAUUUGAUGGGACAGCAUUUAAAAAGCUACUUAAUAUUAGUCUGUGUAUUUAUUUAAAGGAGUUCUAUCUACAUUUAUUUGUAUUGCCCUGUAAAAUUCAGUGUUUGUGAGAACAUCAAAGGAAUGAGAAGGCAUCAAACACUCAAAAAAGAAAUAACCCCCUCUGGUAACAACUUGUAGCUAUUUUUCAGCUGUUUGUAAGGCUUGGGGUUUUUUAUAGCUAGGUCUCAAAGUAGGGUUUCACAGAAGAAGUGUUUCUGAGCACUCUGACUUAGUUUGCUUGUUAUUAAAUUACACCAUUUUAGAUGAUGAUUCAGCAAAGUAUUUAAUAUUCUACCCUUAAAUGUUAUGCAUGUGCUCAAAUACUUUGUUGGAUUGAGUACUUGAGAGAGAAGCUUCUGUUCUUAGCCCAGGCCCCAAAGCUUAUUACUGUGGAGGAGCUUAUUGCUGCUGAGGACAUUGUGGCUUCCCAACCAGCAGCAGGAAUGAGAUUGGAAGAUGCAAGCCACUAUGCAGAAUCCUUUGUUGGGUUCCUUUUUAUGUUACCUUAGGCUCAGCAUCAACUGCCAGAAACCUGAAAUCUUGGCGCAUCCAGAAUUUUCAAGACCUUAAGCAGAAAGAAAUAUCUCUCUGCCACUGGUUGCAAGAGAUUGCUCCUGUAAGGUGAAUAAGAAGAGGACAUGGUCUGGAUCCCCCAGGUUCCAGUGAGAAUAUCCCAAAGGUAUGAGGAGGCAGAUGAAGGUGAUCAAAGGUCAGGACAACUUCCAAACAAGGAACCAGCCAAAGCAAGACUCUGCAGUGUUGAAAGGCCAGACCUGUAGCUUGAUGAUGUGAAAUGCUUCAUGGUGCUUGAAGCAGCAAAAUUAUCCCACCCUUCAUCCCCACAGCCAGAAAGAGAAAACUGACCUAUAAUCCAUCAGAAGAUUUUAAUAUCACAAACAGAACUGUAUCAUCUACUCUAUCAAACAGCCUUUCCUUUAAUAGAGGAAUAAUGGUGCUGAAAACAAAAUGAACUAUAAAGCUUCUGCCUGUUAUAGGUGUUGCAGUGAUCAACUCAGUGACCCCAUGGAGGAGUUUUAGAUUUGCAGAAGCAAAAAAUUAGACUUCCUAUUGCUUGAUACCAGUGAAUUUUGUCAUGGGUUGGUGGAGGUUCAGAAGGGUUUUUGUUACCCCAGAAGGUCAAGCUGAUCUUGACUGCUGAUUCAAAGUGAGAAUGGUUGAUACAGGCAAGGCAGAAGUGGGAGGCAGAUGCAACACUAGAGGAAGAAGAAAAAACAGAACUCAUUUGCCAAUUGUAGGCAAGAAAUCCCACAAAAUGUUUAAAAAUGAGGGUGAUUUUCCUGUGCUUGAUCAAAUGUAAAAAAUGAUGUUAAAAAAGCCCGAUGUAAUUUAAAAAGCUUUUUGAUGUGAUUUUGAAACUCUGAUCUGAUAGCAUUUCCUUCACUGGCAGGAUAGAUAUUGCUAUUUCAUAGUAAAUGGAGUGCAAUUAGUAACUUUCCACAGCUGAAGACAGAAGUCAGC